AGUCGAACGUGAAAGCACUUCGGUGUGAGUAGAGUGGCGGACGGGUGAGUAACGCGUGGGAAUCUACCCAGUAGUGGGGGACAACUACCGGAAACGGUAGCUAAUACCGCAUACGCCCUAUGGGGGAAAGGCUUCGGCCGCUAUUGGAUGAGCCCGCGUCAGAUUAGCUAGUUGGUAGGGUAAAGGCCUACCAAGGCAACGAUCUGUAGCUGGUCUGAGAGGACGAACAGCCACACUGGGACUGAGACACGGCCCAGACUCCUACGGGAGGCAGCAGUGGGGAAUAUUGGACAAUGGGCGAAAGCCUGAUCCAGCAAUGCCGCGUGUGUGAAGAAGGCCUGCGGGUUGUAAAGCACUUUCAGUUGGGAAGAUGAUGACGUUACCAACAGAAGAAGCACCGGCUAAAUCCGUGCCAGCAGCCGCGGUAAUACGGAUGGUGCGAGCGUUAAUCGGAAUUACUGGGCGUAAAGCGCGCGUAGGCGGCUAAGUCAGUCAGAAGUGAAAGCCCCGGGCUCAACCUGGGAAUUGCUUUUGAUACUGCUUAGCUAGAGUUUGGUAGAGGAUAGUGGAAUUCCAGGUGUAGCGGUGAAAUGCGUAGAUAUCUGGAGGAACAUCAGUGGCGAAGGCGACUGUCUGGACCAAAACUGACGCUGAGGUGCGAAAGCGUGGGUAGCAAACAGGAUUAGAUACCCUGGUAGUCCACGCCGUAAACGAUGUCAACUAGCCGUCGGGUCUAUUUACAGACUUGGUGGCGCAGCUAACGCGAUAAGUUGACCGCCUGGGGGAGUACGGCCGCAAGGUUAAAACUCAAAGGAAUUGACGGGGGCCCGCACAAGCGGUG
rnacentral:rRNA from 1 species